rnacentral:rRNA from 1 species
GACGAACGCUGGCGGCGUGCCUAAUACAUGCAAGUCGAGCGAGAAACCACCACUCCGUAAGGAGUGGUGGUGGACAGCGGCGAACGGGUGAGUAACACGUGGGUAACGUGCCCUGGACUCAGGAAUAACAGUGGGAAACCGCUGCUAAUGCCUGAUAACCCUGCAGCGUCGCAUGACGCAGCAGGCAAAGUUUUUCGGUCUGGGAUCGGCCCGCGGUGUAUCAGCUUGUUGGUGGGGUAACGGCCUACCAAGGCUUUGACGCAUAGCUGGCGUGAGAGCGCGACCAGCCACACUGGGACUGAGACACGGCCCAGACUCCUACGGGAGGCAGCAGUGGGGAAUAUUGCGCAAUGGGCGAAAGCCUGACGCAGCGACGCCGCGUGUGGGAU